CAUAUUUCUAAGACUAACUACCUAAUUUAUCCAUAGUUUAUUAGUUUUAAAUAAAUGUUAUCAACUUUAUUUGAUUUAAGUUAUUAAUUAAAAGAAAAAAUAAAAGAGGUCCUAAUCCUAAACAACCAACCCACCCCACGUUUCCUACUUCCCCAAAACUCCCUCAUGUUUAGCAACACACGAAACACACACAUGUACUAAUAUAAAUCUCAUUUCCACACACAAUUAGAAAAGAAUAAGAGAGAACACUGAUGACGACAAAGAUUGAAAAAAACAAAAGGAGUGGAAAGAAAGAAACAAAGGAAGACUUAGAAAACCAAAGAGAGAAAGAAGAGUUGGAGGGGAAUAUUAAAAUACGGACAGAGAAUGAGAAGAAAAGAAAGAAAUGGUGUGAAACGAAACAAGGAAAAGAAAAAUCAGAGAGAGAGAGCAAGCGGGUAGACGAAGAUUUGGAAUUUGAGGUUAGGUUCGUGAUUUCAAAUUCGUGGCUUCUUCUUCUUUUGUUAGGAAUUAUUUUCACAAGAGUAUACGCUCCCGAGCCUUGAGAUACCAGAGACGCGGCAACGCUCCUAGGAAGGAUUUUAUGAUCACAUAUGAUUUAGGAUGGGAAGGACCAAUGGUGAGGCCAGAAAUCACUGCUACCGUUUGCAGGUUUUUCUGCAAAGCACAUGUUUGAUGCCGAGAGUGGAAUUGCAUCUCUGGUUAGAAUAUAGAAGAACGGUUAGUUUGAAGAUAGUUAGAGUCAGCUUUGUAUUCAUAAUGGCCCAACAUUUGAAGAGUCAUCUUCUUAGCUUCUGGUCAAGUGAACAAACAUCGAAUAAUAUUCUAUGAAUUGUCCUUUGGAGGAGCACCAACGACUCAAUCCAAGUUUCAAGUUCAAGUCUCAAAUCCUAACUUCAAGAUUAAAUUUUGAGAUCAAGGUACCCAUCAGAAUAAGAUGAGGUGAUAACUAAAGAUCCAAAAUAAAGAUCUGAAGCAAGAGAAUCAAGACAAUUAGAAUAGAUAGAGCUUGUAUUUUUCAUUUCUAGUUUUACUUUUUCUUUUUCUUAUGUAAUAAAAGGAGUAACGGACCGAAAACUAGACGGAACCUCAACUCGACUCUCCAACUUAUCCAUUCAUUCCUAAACUUAUUUGAACUA